rnacentral:rRNA from 1 species
AUUGAACGCUGGCGGCAGGCCUAACACAUGCAAGUCGAGCGGAGCGGCGGACGGGUGAGUAAUGCCUAGGAAUCUGCCUGGUCGUGGGGGGUGACGUCCGGAAACGGGCGCUAAUACCGCAUGCUAUCAGAUGAGCCUAGGUCGGAUUAGCUAGUUGGUGGGGUAAAGGCCUACCAAGGCGACGAUCCGUACCUGGCCUGCGAGGAUGAGCAGUCACACUGGAACUGAGAAACGGUCCAGACUCCUACGGGAGGCAGCAGUGGGGAAUAUUGAACAAUGGGCGAAAGCCUGAUCCAGCCAUGCCGCGUGUGUGAAGAAGGUCUUCGGAUUGUAAAGCACUUUAAGUUGGGAGGCGUUACCAACAGAAGAAGCACCGGCUAACGUCGUGCCAGCAGCCGCGGUAAUAC